GCUCCUGCACGGGGAACCACCUCGAGCCCCGGCGUCCCUUCUGGGCUUCCUAGGGACACUGGAGAAGACGCUUCCUCCCAUCCUUCUGGGCCUCUCCUCCCCCUUUCUGCCCAGCUCAUCUGCCCAAACCGGGACAGGCACAUCUUGGACAGUGCCAAGUGCAAUGAGAACGAGAUCCAGGCUGAACCUUUCAGAUACUACUGCAGAAUAGACCGCAACCGUUUGAAGACAAAUGAAGAGUUUGUACUUGUUGGAGCACAACUGUGAUGCACGAGGCAAGUUUCCCACAGAUAUCCUGGCUUCUAAACUCGUCCUCUUGAGUCCCUUCCCUCUUCAUCUCUCCAACUUCUGCUGCGUUCAUACAGUCAUCUCUCAUGUCACCGUGUGCUAGUUUUUGUCCCCUGCUACAGAUGUGCUGAUAAGCAGCGUAGCUCUCUCUUGCCCACAUGUAAAUUGUACUCCUAGUUUACUUCCUAUUGCCGCAAAUGAGUUAGCAGAUAUACAUAGCCAGCCCAUAACAGAAAAGUAUAUUCUAUGUUUUCUUGACCAUUUUCCCACCAUCAAAUGGGGAAAGUGAACAGGGUUCACAGAUGGCAAUUUCCAAAGCAUUUUUCUGGUUUUACUUUUCCCCCUGGAUUCCAGCGACAGGGAGGAGGCAGAACAGUAGACAGACAAGUGCCCAAGAUCUGUCCAUGUUCUGGUUUUACACGAGUUUAAUUAAGAGUGUUGCAAAACAGGAGUUUGCUUCAUGCUUCUUGUAGCCACAGUGACUUCUUACUCUCUGUCUCCAACACACACAAAAAAAAACCAAGGUAGUUUUUACCCAAGGGUAAGUACCUGGACAUGACAUCCUUGAGGUAAGAUGUGGGGCUUUUUCUUCUUCAGAGCUUGUUUGAGCCAGCCAUACCCAUGCAGCUAAGGGCUGAUUUUAUCGAGCUGUGCAGAGGUAAGUGUGGCGAUGUUUUUAUGGGCAUGUGACUGAACACAGCAAUUUAUGAGCGCUUACCAAGCCACCUCGUCAGCCGAACGAUCAGAGGUGACCACGUGAGAUCCCCGCCUGCCCCAGUUGGGAAGCAUAACCUUUGCUAAAAUUUCCAAGCAGGUGGCUGAGACUAAUGCACGCUGCCUCACGGGUCCAGUGCUGCUGCUGCUGGACCAGGAUCUGGCCCCGAGGAAGCCCAGUAACAGCCAUGAUCACAGGAGGAACAAGGACAAGCUCUAUUCUGGUUGCACAAGAUUUAACCAGAGCAGUCUCUGCCAUCAGGAGGACACCUGAAGGCUGGCCACAACUAAGCUGCUUUCGUACAGCACGUCACCCAGAAGACACAGUGAGACGGACUUCUGAGGAACGGACUUCCACCCGGAACGGCAGGACUCGCUAGCUGUCACAGCACUGACUUGACUGCAAGUGCGUCAGCGCUCGGCUGUCUCCCGGCGAGGUUAGUGCGAUACCUAGAAAGGUUCACAGUGCAAAACAAGUAGUGCCCAGUAUUACACACAGAAAAUGCUCUGUAUGAGAAAGUGACUGGUAUAAAGUCAUCAGAUAAAGUUCAUUCACCUUUUCCAAUUUGUGAAUUGCUCAAUAAGAGAAGCCAGGAUUUCUCCAUAUACGAGCAGCUAAGGACUGGAAAUCAGAUAGGCAGCACGCUGGAAACAGCAUUAAAACAGUACUUUAUUAUACUCCCAAGUACAGAUUUUAACUUCAAGGAGAGAAAUAACACAUCCCUCAUUUAGGUAAUUAUAGAAGAGAUAUUGCACAUGGUAGGUUAUAACCAAAUUCAGUUACUUUUCAAACUAGUGGCUUGAAACCAUAAGUCAACAAAAUCUCUUCCCACAACCCACAGGAAAGGGACUAGCACAAGGUGAAACCUUCCUUAUUUGGAGCAGUUUGCAAAGUGUAAAAAAAGAAAUGAGAAAGUCAACUAAACAUAUUCUUGGUUGCCCUCUACUGUUUGCUUGGUUAAGACGCAAAGUAACUUUUCUGUAUAGCUCACAGAUCUCCAAAGCACAAUGCAGUAAUGGACAAGAGAAGCCAAGAAGCAUGAUGGUGUAUAUCCGUGAGGGAAAACCUGGGACCACAGUGAGACUUCCACAAUAUGAGCACUUCAAAGAAAGACAACAGCCUGUACUCUCGCAACGCACCGAAACAGAGGGCACCUUUCACGAGGAAGCAACGCAGCAAGGUCGGGAAGAAAGGAGCAGAACUCAGCAGGCUUGAGGGCCCUGACCACCAUCCGACUGCUAGACCGUGGCAGACGCUGCACGCCCAGACAAGCUACAGUCUGACUCGCAGGGCUGUACCAGCUAGCCUCCGCUAGCUCAGCAUGUGUGGACAAAAUCGUCACUCACCAAGGGGAACAGAACAGUUUCAGAGUUUGGCAGACAAGUACUAGUGCUCCUGGUUAACCUUCACCUCUAGAGACAUCAAGAAUAACUAUAAAAAUGAAGAACUGACAGAAAUAAGACAUAUACCCUCAAUACAAAUAAGGGCAUUGAGUCAUAUUCAUCCCUGGUUGGUAAGAAACAAUCGCUGUUGCAGAGUUUUGUAGCAAGUUUUCUGAUUUGCAGCACAUGUAUCCUGCCUUAUAACUACCAUUGUCUCGCAGGUCCCUUGACUCUGAAUUAAUUGUGCAGCAGUGCAGACACCUGACUCUGCAGGAGCCAGCUUGGAAGCAGCACAGUGGUGUUCAUGUACACUUCCCUGUGGGACUUGCCAAUUCAGGUCAGCGCUCUAGCUGAUCGUAACGCUGACCUCCUUCCUCUGCCAGCGCUCUGGGCUCCUAUUGCUGAUUUGCCUGUUUGCUGUUAGUUGUGAUUUUGCUUUGCAUACUUUAUCUCACUUCUCCUAUCAGCCUAGGAUAUCAAGAGCUGACUUCACAUGCAACCUUGCUGGCAGUUUCUGCUGAAGUACCAGUUCCUGAUUGCACAAAAUACUGAUCAGGUCCUCGCCACCACUGCAGAGAAGCCUGAACAACCAUUCCAAAAAAUGGAAAAAAAUCAAUGCUGAUAGGAGGAAAGAAGUUAUCAAACCCCACCCUGUCCAAAGCCUGAACACAGAACAGUCAUGGCUGAUCACAGAGGAUGGGGGCUGUAAAACUUCUGCAAGAGUAAAUAUCACACGCUGCCCGUAACGGGCUGGAGCAAAAGACACAUGCAAGCAAAGCCACUCCUGGGAAUCUGACUGUACACACCUGACAUACUGCAAAGGAACAGCUAAUCCCUGGAAAAAUGUUAAAAGCAUUGUAGCGCUUCUGUCAACAUCUGCACUUGUCAGUGCUCAAGGCAGCUCUGCCUCCCGUUCACGGAGCAGGUAUUCCCUUGUGGCUCCCUGCGCUUUGCUUUGGGGAGCUGGGGUGGGUGCAGGGCAGGGGGUUAAAAAGCCAUCACAGCUACCAGUGCAAAUCAGCCCGUGAAAACAGCAAGCCCUGUGUGGAGCUGGAGGCUAGCCAGGUGCCUAUUGCACAGGGGCAGCUCUUGAGUAGGUCCCACAAGUUCCUCGGGCAGCACCUGCUCCUUCAGUGCUGUGUCUUGCAAAGGCUCCUCGUAUUAACAGAGAGCAGUUUCCCCUUCGUGGCAAAUGCGACGGGAAGCACGUGGCUGUGUGGUGAAUAUGCAGCUAAUAUAAACAUUGCCCUUCAGUGGAUGACACCCCCAUCUGCCAUCCUGCUCAAAUUAAGCAAGAUUGGAGCUUGCUCCCAACUACCGUUAUGCUUAAUGCUGAAACAUGGAAGGAAAAAAAAAAACCCACCACUUGAACCCCAUAAAAAUACCUCACCCAUCCCCAAAUACAACCAAGCUACAAACUGAUGGGCAAGGGCAAGGACCUGGUCUACAAAAAUCUCUGCAUUUUUGUAGCUUCUUUGUCUGAAGAAAAUUGCAUCAGUUCUGCAGCUCAACAGAAAGACCAACUGCAGCCCCAGCUUCUCUGAUCGAUACCCAAACACAGAAAUACACAGCCAUGCGCAGCAUUAGACAUAGCAGCAUGUCAGGAUGACUCUUCAUAAGGCCUUAAUGCAGUAGGGAAGCCAGGAAUGCACUCGGUUGCUGUAUUAUUUUUACAUCAACAGGAAGUAUAAUCUGAAUACAUAUAUUUUUAAAACUAGAUUUAAUUAAGUGCUUUAGAAGAGAAUUCACAUUUCUCCCUUCUUCUCUGUAAACAAAUACAAGUAUUUUCAAAAUAUUUUCAUACAUAGGAUUAAACUUUUAGAUGUAUUCUAAGCAGCAAAAAGACAACCUCCCCCCAGUCAAGUCCACAGAGAUGAUGUUAUGCCCGAGAAAUAUAUAAGUCAAAGCUCUUCUGUAAGCCAUAAACAGGAGAAAACAACAGAAAAGGCAAGCAUGUGCUUUACCAAAUGGCCACUUAACAAAGUUACAAGCUGCACUAACAUCCUAGUAUCCACAAUUGGUAAUCUCAUUAUCAGGAGGCAUUUGCUAAGGAUACUGGCUUCAGCUUUAGGGCUCUUCCCCACCUCUGUUCCCCUGCCAGGAUAAACAGAGGGGGCUUUUCCUUCGGCACACCACUACCUCCUGGACCAACGCAAGGCAAGAUGACAAAAAAGUUGUUCUGUUCCCAUAGCCAGUCCCCAACUCUGAUUGAGAGGGAUGUCUGAUUUUUUCCCCUUUAUAAGCUCUUAAGAUAUGGACGUAUGCACUAGUAUGGUGGAGGGUUACCCCUCACCUGCCUGUCACCAGCUGCGUGCCAUCACAGGACAGCAGCGGUCAUAAGACUGAUCUGCAGAGCACAAGCACACUGGCACGAGCAAGUGCAUUUCAGUGACCUGGCUCAUUUUCAGUGUUAAGAGGGGACAGGAGGCGUUUUACCAGCCUGCUUAUUUACACUGAAGCAGAUUAGGAAGAAAUUUUAUGAUCUCCCCCACAGACAAUGAAACUGUCAUACAGAGUAGUUAAGGGCAGAGGGGAAAGGAAGAGCAGUAAGUUCCUGCUACAGCACAUCAAGUCCAGAAGAAAGUGUUUCCCCACAGCUGCUAGAGCUAUCCUGACAGAACUGGCUAAGUGAUGACUGUCGUGACCACAAAAGUGGCACUACAGCGUCUGUGUUGGUCCUCUCCCCACUGGUGAAUAUCGGCAUGCUUAACUUUGGAGAUUUGAAUUUAUUAUUAAAAAGCAAAAACCAGGGACUGGAAUUUUUUUUGUCCUAAGAAACUCAAUGUAAUAGGAAAGCUCUUAGAACACUUUUAAUAACUAAGGAUAUCCUGAAGUUGUAAGUCAGAUCACAUACAUCACAAGGUAACUAGCUUCAGUUUUGUUAGUUUUGUAUUUAGGAAUGUUAUUACAUAAAACCCGCGAUAAUAUGCAGGUACCUGAGUGUUACACAUCUAUAAAGUCUAUCUAAUACUGUUUUAACAGGUCUAACUUGAAAGGACUUGAAUAUGCCAUAAACCAGCUGAACAUAUUUCCAAAGCUCUGAUUACUUUUUUAAACACUGAAAAGCCUCAUGCGUGAAAGAUUUAAGAUCAAAGUUCUCAGAUAUGAGCUGUCAUCUCCCUAGUAUAAAUGUACCUGUUAAUGUUUUCAUGUAACCCGCUUUAUCAGCAAGAGUAAGUUACAAGUUGUACUGUAGUGCAUGAAAUAAGGAAACUCAUUAAACAUGCAAGAAAACAUCAGCAGGAAAUUCAGAGGGGAAAAGCCUACUAUUGUCAUGGUUCGUGCAAACUUGCAAACUUUCCAUAGCCAGAAAUGCAAUAAGGCGGCCAUCAUAUUGCUGUUUUAAGAAUGUGAAAUUAUUUUGACGUUUCUGUAAACUGUCUAUAUAAAUACAUUGUGGUAUAAAUCAUU